AUUUGAAAUCUGGCCCCCCCGGGGCCCGAGUUGUAAUUUGCAGAGGAUGCUUCGGGUGCGGUCCCCGUCUAAGUGCCCUGGAACGGGCCGUCAUAGAGGGUGAGAAUCCCGUCUGGGAUGGGCGGCCGCGCCCGUGUGAAGCGCCUUCGACGAGUCGAGUUGUUUGGGAAUGCAGCUCUAAGUGGGUGGUAAAUUUCAUCUAAAGCUAAAUACUGGCCGGAGACCGAUAGCGCACAAGUAGAGUGAUCGAAAGAUGAAAAGCACUUUGAAAAGAGAGUUAAACAGCACGUGAAAUUGUUGAAAGGGAAGCGUUGUCCACCAGACUCGCCCGGGGGGGCUCAGCCGGCACUCGUGCCGGUGUACUCCCCCCCGGGCGGGCCAGCAUCGGUUUGGGCGGCUGGUGAAAGGCCCCGGGAAUGUAACACCCUCCGGGGUGCCUUAUAGCCCGGGGUGCCCAUGCGGCCAGCCUGGACCGAG
rnacentral:rRNA from 1 species